GAAUGGAUGGUACAAUUUUUUUUCAUACAUCGAAUUCGGGCCCUAUGUGAGUCAGCGAACUUCUUUAACUAAAUCAACCAUAUCGAAGUGAAGUACCUGGCAUGCACCGCGCGAGACAGGAUGGAUGGGUACUUCAACUUUGGAGCGAUGUGCAACAUCAUGGGGUAUGCUGACUCAUGGAAAGACGGGGAAGGAAGGAGAAACUAACCAAAAAAAAUACUGGACUAACAAGCUUCUUGUAUAUCUAUCUCACUAUCUGUAUUUAGUACUCUGUAUAAUGAGACGGGUAUCCGCCAUAUAGUCGUCGGUGUAUGUAUUGACCGACCUAGUUUUUGUUUCGACUCUACUUUCAUUGUUUCGGCUAACUUCGCGAAUCUGUUGGUGUUUGUAAAUGCCAGUUUUUCCAUAAAGAAGAGCUCUGUUUGUUUCC
rnacentral:sRNA from 1 species